rnacentral:rRNA from 1 species
UACGUAGGGGGCAAGCGUUGUCCGGAAUCAUUGGGCGUAAAGAGCGUGUAGGCGGCCAGAUAAGUCCGCUGUGAAAUCUCGAGGCUCAACUUCGAGCUGUCGGUGGAAACUGUCUGGCUAGAGUCCGGAAGAGGAGAAUGGAAUUCCUGGUGUAGCGGUGAAAUGCGCAGAUAUCAGGAGGAACACCGGUGGUGUAGACGGCUAUCUGGACCGUAACUGACGCUGAGGCACGAAAGCGUGGGUAGCAAACAGG